GAUCUGCUCCCUCCGUCCGAAAAAACUUGUCCCUCAAAUGGAUGUAUCUAGCAUCAAGUUGGUGCUAGACACAUCUACGGACAAGCUUGGGACAAGCUUUUUCGGACGGAGGGAGUAUCUU
rfam:Triticum aestivum genome assembly, contig: Triticum_aestivum_CS42_TGACv1_scaffold_622237_7DS